AAUUAGAGAUAAGAGGUAAAUUAGGAAAGAGAUUUUUCAUAUAUAAAAUAUUAUUGACAUCAUAUUAAUUUUUUUCUUAUUUUUUUGGAGAAUUAUUUAGUGUGUGAGACUCUUGAAUCCUUCUCCACAUUCUAAUAAUUUUUUAAAAUUUUUUGGGAUGCCAAAAGGAGGUUUUGGCAUUGACUCUUGGUGCCCUUCCUUAAAAAGUCUUAAUUCCUAGUCUAUAAAAACGGGUCCUCUCUCUUGGACGUCCCAUGAUUAUUUUCUUGAUGUUUUUUAUUUUCAGAGCUUCUCCUCCUCCUCCUCUAUUCCUCCUCUUGAUCCUCUCUUGCUUUGGAGUGUCCAAGGUACUUGAAGAAGGAGGAACAAAUCAGCUGUCGAAAUUACUUGUAGGCUAGCACCUCCAAGUCUCAAAUCUAUGCAUGUCUUUGCAUGAUCUUUCUGUAGAAGUCAGAUGACUUCGUGUGGCUGUGAGUGAUCUGAAGAACACCUUCUCCAACCAUUGGACUAAAGGAGAUUAAGAUCAAAUUUGU
rnacentral:lncRNA from 1 species